UCCUCGGUAGUAUAGUGGUUAGUAAUCCCCGCCUGUCACGCGGGAGAACCGGGGUUCGAUUCCCCGCCGGGGAG
rnacentral:tRNA from 1 species